UAGCGGCGGACGGGUGAGAAUCCCGUCCACCGAUUGACUAAGGUUUCCAGAGGAAGGCUCGUCCGCUCUGGGUUAGUCGGGUCCUAAGCUGAGGCCGACAGGCGUAGGCGAUGGAUAACAGGUUGAUAUUCCUGU
rnacentral:rRNA from 1 species